UACGAGAGGCCCAAACGUUAUUCGGAAUUACUGGGCGUAAAGCGUGCGCAGGCGGUUCUCCAAGUCCGUUGUGAAAGCCCCGGGCUCAACCUGGGAAUGGCAGUGGAAACUAGGGGACUGGAAUCUGGCAGAGGGGGGUGGAAUGCCGCGUGUAGCAGUGAAAUGCGUAGAUAUGCGGAGGAACACCGAUGGCGAAGGCAAUCCCCUGGGCCUGCACUGACGCUCAUGCACGAAAGCGUGGGGAGCAAACAGG
rnacentral:rRNA from 1 species